rnacentral:lncRNA from 10 species
UUUUCUUGUAAAGUUCUUCUAUGGGUAGGGUUUAUCUGUAAGAAAUGUGAGCUUAGACUGUUUACCUGGCUUUUACCCUCAGUGAUGAUUACAUGGCAUUAUUUCAGGUAAUAUAUGGAAUUUUUUUUAACCUAACUUUAAAAGAACAGGAUUUCCUAAAAAUACCCUUCGCAAGAGGCAAUCUAUGGUGCAGUCAAAUGAAGGCCAUGUGGAUAUGUGUUGGUUUUACCUACUGGGCAGCCUUUCUCCCAUUUCUGGUUCUGUGUGCCUCUCUAUGUAUAAACCCUCAGCUCACUGAGUGUGAGUCAGUCUGCUGGUCGAAGGUGCACUUUUUUUUUUUUUGCACAAUCUGGAUGUUAUGCCAGUUUUCAAGUGACAAGACUGGAGAAAAAAUAGACUGUAUUGAACUUACUGAGAGCUGCUCACAUUAGCUGUCUCGUGGCAUGAGUGGAGUAGAGUUGCCGGAUAAAAUGCAGGGUGCCCAGUGCUGCAGUCAGAAUGUGUGAGUCCCUCAUAAUUUAUAUGUUGAAAAACUAAUUACCAAUGUGAUGGUAUUAGGUGAAGCUUUUGGAAGAGCAUUAGAUCAUGAGACCUCAAGCCUCAUGAAUAGGACGAACGUCAUUAUAAAAGAGGACCCAGGGAGCUGCUUUCCACUUUUCCACCAUAUGAAGCUAUAGCCAGAAGACAGCCCUCACCAAACACCGAAUCUACUGGCGCCUUAAUCUUGGACUUUCUAGCCUCCAGUGCUUUGAGAAAUAAGUUUCUGUUGUUUAUAUGCUGCCUACUGUAUGGUGUUUUAUUAUAGUAGCCCAAAUAAAUGAUGACAUCCUGUUAACUUUGAGUUGCAGAUAAACAACAAAUACUUUUUCAGUAUGUUUAGAUUUGUGAAAUUUGACAACCCUACCUUAAAUCCUAUAGUUUAAGGGAUAUUUAAAUAAUUUUCCAUGGGUAUUUUUGAUAUUAACUGAUUUCCAUUUCAUGUUCUGAUUUUUUAAUGUAACCCUCAUGUGAGAUAAAACCAUUUAUACUUUUAUAAAAUUCAUCCAUAGCCAUCAUCUCAUUAGAUCUCCACAACAAUCUUCAUAGGGACUCAAAUUUUAUCUUAUGCAUCUCUAUUUUCCAGAUAGGGAUGUUGAUAUUCAUAAAGGAUAAUCAUGUUAACUCAAGACCAUUUGGAGAGUUAAGAGGCGGGGUUGGGACUUAAAUCUAAGUUGUCUAUCUUUUAGUCCAAUGUUCUCCCUUCCACAAACUCACUCCUGCAUGGGAAUGAAUAAUAAUUGGUUAAUCAGAUGAAUAUAUUCUUUAUAUAUAUAUUUAUAUGUGUGAUAUAUACUAUACAUUAUAAUACUAUAAAAUAAAAUUAUAUAAUAAUAUUACCUCUUUGAUAAUGUUGUGCCUUAACAUAGUUAAAAUGUUUGCUUUUCUUCAAGAGCCUAAACACAGGUGAUGUAGGAUGUGGUAGCCUUCUACUGAGAGAUUCAACAGUCCCAUCUGAACACCUUAAAAUUUCAGCAUGUAGAUUAUCACCCACUGAAAGCAUGCAGUGGCAUAAUAAAAUUGGUGUAUUUAGCUCCCAUUUAUAAGUGAGAACAUGUGGUAUUUGGUUUUCUGUUUCUGUGUUAGUUUGCUAAAGAUAAUGGCCUCCAGCUGCAUCCAUGUCCCUGCAAAGAGCAUGAUCUCAUUCUUUUUUAUGGAUGCAUAGUACUCCUGGACAUUUGCGACAACACACACUGGUGCCUUUCAGAGGGUGGAGGGUGGGAGGAGGAGAAAGAUCAGGAAAAAUAACUAAUGGGUACUAGGCUUAAUACCUGGGUGGUGAAAUAAUCUUUAUAACAAACCCCCAUGACACAAGUUUACCUAUGUAACAAACCUACACUUGUACCCCUUAACUUAAAAUAAA